GAUGUCAAGAUGGUCGUUACACACACACCCAAGGACA
rnacentral:tRNA from 2 species